rnacentral:rRNA from 1 species
UACGAAGGGUGCAAACGUUGCUCGGAAUUAUUGGGCGUAAAGCGCGUGUAGGCGGCACGGCAAGUCGGAUGUGAAAGCCCGCGGCUCAACCGUGGAAGUGCACUCGAAACUGCCGAGCUAGAGUCUCGGAGAGGAAGGUGGAAUGCUUGGUGUAGAGGUGAAAUUCGUAGAUAUCAAGCAGAACACCUGUGGCGAAGGCGGCCUUCUGGACGAUGACUGACGCUGAGACGCGAAAGCGUGGGGAGCAAACAGG